rnacentral:misc_RNA from 1 species
CAGAGUUGCAAAACUCCCUAAACCAUUGUGAACCUUACCUUCAACCGUUGCUUCGGCGGGCGGGCCACCGCGCCCCCCGGGCCCCUAGCGGGCGCCCGCCGGAGGAUACCCAAACCCUUGAUACUUUAUGGCCUCUCUGAGUCUUCUGUACUGAAUAAGUCA